rfam:Heterorhabditis bacteriophora unplaced genomic scaffold Scaffold1050, whole genome shotgun sequence.
CCAACGGCCCUCUUUAGGGCCACAAAUAUCUAUGAAUGCUAACGGU